GGAAAGGUGGCGGAGUGGUCGAUCGCACCGCACUCGAAAUGCGGCAUACGGGCAACCGUAUCGGGGGUUCGAAUCCCCCCCUUUCCGCCA
rnacentral:tRNA from 2 species